rnacentral:rRNA from 1 species
UGUUCCUACGGGACGCAGCAGUGAGGAAUAUUGGUCAAUGGGCGCGAGCCUGAACCAGCCAAGUAGCGUGAAGGAUGACUGCCCUACGGGUUGUAAACUUCUUUUAUAAAGGAAUAAAGUGAGGCACGUGUGCCUUUUUGUAUGUACUUUAUGAAUAAGGAUCGGCUAACUCCGUGCCAGCAGCCGCGGUAAUAUGGAGGAUCCGCGCGUUAUCCGGAUUUAUUGGGUUUAAAGGGAGCGUAGAUGGGUUGUUAAGU